GAUGAACGCUGGCGGCGUGCUUAACACAUGCAAGUCGAACGAUGAAGCCCAGCUUGCUGGGUGGAUUAGUGGCGAACGGGUGAGUAACACGUGAGUAACCUGCCCUUAACUCUGGGAUAAGCCUGGGAAACUGGGUCUAAUACCGGAUAGGAGCGUCCACCGCAUGGUGGGUGUUGGAAAGAUUUAUCGGUUUUGGAUGGACUCGCGGCCUAUCAGCUUGUUGGUGAGGUAAUGGCUCACCAAGGCGACGACGGGUAGCCGGCCUGAGAGGGUGACCGGCCACACUGGGACUGAGACACGGCCCAGACUCCUACGGGAGGCAGCAGUGGGGAAUAUUGCACAAUGGGCGCAAGCCUGAUGCAGCGACGCCGCGUGAGGGAUGACGGCCUUCGGGUUGUAAACCUCUUUCAGUAGGGAAGAAGCGAAAGUGACGGUACCGCAGAAGAAGCACCGGCUAACUACGUG
rnacentral:rRNA from 1 species